AGAGUGAACGCUGGCGGUAGGCCUAACACAUGCAAGUCGAACGGAGUAGCAAUACUUAGUGGCGGACGGGUGAGUAACGCGUGAGAAUCUACCUUCAGGACGGAGACAACAGUUGGAAACGACUGCUAACCCCCGAUGUACUGAAAAGGCAAAUAUUUAUAGCCUGAAGAAGAGCUCGCGUCCGAUUAGCUAGUUGGAGAGGUAAAAGCUCACCAAGGCGACGAUCGGUAGCUGGUCUGAGAGGACGAUCAGCCACACUGGGACUGAGACACGGCCCAGACUCCUACGGGAGGCAGCAGUGGGGAAUUUCCGCAAUGGGCGAAAGCCUGACGGAGCAAGACCGCGUGGGGGAAGAAGGCUCUUGGGUUGUAAACCCCCUUUUCUCUGGGAAGAACACAAUGACGGUACCAGAGGAAUCGAGCAUCGGCUAACUCCGUGCCAGCAGCCGC
rnacentral:rRNA from 1 species